rnacentral:rRNA from 1 species
CGGGAAUAUUGGACAAUGGAGGAAACUCUGAUCCAGCAAUGCCGCGUGUGUGAUGAAGGCCCUAGGGUUGUAAAGCACUUUCAACGGUGAAGAUGAUGACGGUAGCCGUAGAAGAAGCCCCGGCUAACUUCGUGCCAGCAGCCGCGGUAAUACGAAGGGGGCGAGCGUUGUUCGGAAUUAUUGGGCGUAAAGGGCGCGCAGGCGGUUUGGAUAGUUAGACGUGAAAGCCCUGGGCUUAACCUAGGAACUGCGUUUAAUACUGCCAAACUAGAGAACUAGAGAGGAUAGCGGAACUCCCAGUGUAGAGGUGAAAUUCGUAGAUAUUGGGAAGAACAUCAGUGGCGAAAGCGGCUGUCUGGCUAGUUUCUGACGCUGAGGCGCGAAAGCGUGGGGAGCAAACAGG